UUCUUUGUAGAUAAUGGAAUUUAACCCGUUAUAUUUGAAAUACUUGUUCCUUGCACAAUGCUUCUGUGUUUCUCUUGGAAUAAUUGAGGGUGGCACAAAAUUUACCAGGAAGAAUCAACCAGUAACUUUUGAAUGUCCUGUUGAAAAGCAAAACUU